rnacentral:rRNA from 1 species
AGUGCGGCGUGCUAAUACAUGCAAGUCGAGCGAAUGGAUUAAGAGCUUGCUCUUAUGAAGUUAGCGGCGGACGGGUGAGUAACACGUGGGUAACCUGCCCAUAAGACUGGGAUAACUCCGGGAAACCGGGGCUAAUACCGGAUAACAUUUUGAACCGCAUGGUUCGAAAUUGAAAGGCGGCUUCGGCUGUCACUUAUGGAUGGACCCGCGUCGCAUUAGCUAGUUGGUGAGGUAACGGCUCACCAAGGCAACGAUGCGUAGCCGACCUGAGAGGGUGAUCGGCCACACUGGGACUGAGACACGGCCCAGACUCCUACGGGAGGCAGCAGUAGGGAAUCUUCCGCAAUGGACGAAAGUCUGACGGAGCAACGCCGCGUGAGUGAUGAAGGCUUUCGGGUCGUAAAACUCUGUUGUUAGGGAAGAACAAGUGCUAGUUGAAUAAGCUGGCACCUUGACGGUACCUAACCAGAAAGCCACGGCUAACUACGUGCCAGCAGCCGCGGUAAUACGUAGGUGGCAAGCGUUAUCCGGAAUUAUUGGGCGUAAAGCGCGCGCAGGUGGUUUCUUAAGUCUGAUGUGAAAGCCCACGGCUCAACCGUGGAGGGUCAUUGGAAACUGGGAGACUUGAGUGCAGAAGAGGAAAGUGGAAUUCCAUGUGUAGCGGUGAAAUGCGUAGAGAUAUGGAGGAACACCAGUGGCGAAGGCGACUUUCUGGUCUGUAACUGACACUGAGGCGCGAAAGCGUGGGGAGCAAACAGGAUUAGAUACCUGGGUAG